CUUCGCACGUAAGUUGACCUUGACGAACGGCUACACCUCAACGACGCGAGAACGAUGACGUUGCGUUUAUAAUCCUUCUGAAGAUCACAUUGCGUACCCCAGCCGAUAAAUUCCAAGAUAAACGGUUAGAAGGGAACAAACAGGAGGAGUAGUGAAAAAGAGAAAAAGAAAAAAAGAGAAGGAAAAGCAAAAGAAAAAGAAGAAGAAGAGGAGGAGAAAAAGGAGAAGGAGGAGGAGGAGAAGGAGGAAGAGGAGGAGAAAGAAAAAAAGGAAAGUCUCUUUAGAAGGAGCGCCCGUCUAUGACAGACGGACGAACCGCGACGAAACAGCUGCUGCGACUGCGGUCGUGGCAUCUCGUACUCCUUCGUUGCUAUUGGGUGAAGGGAGAGUAAAAUCGAGAGAGAUCAUCGACUUCUACUUCUUAGAGAAAGAGAGAAAGAGAGAGAGAGAGAGAGAGAGAGAGAGAGAGAGAGAGAGAAAGAGUCUCCUUUCCCUCUCUCCUUCCAUUACCAGCACCACCAGCACCAUCACCACCAAACAUUAUCACCAACAACAUUGAUCGUGAGCAACGAAAGAGAAAAGAAGGAAUCGUUACGAAGGCGCAUUCAUGAUGAUGAUGAGGAGGAGGAAGAGGAGGAGGAGGAGGAGGAGGACGUUGUGAAAGCAAGCACAGGAUGAAUUUCAUAGGGAAAGGCAACUAUCGACCUUUACUCUGAGGCCCUUAUAAUCCUUAAACUAUAAACGAAUAUAAAUAUUACCUUUGUUUUCUCAUCAAUGUUAUUAUUACUUUAAUAAGAUAGAAAACAGGUGGAAUU